rnacentral:rRNA from 1 species
GACGAACGCUGGCGGCGUGCUUAACACAUGCAAGUCGAACGGAAAGGCCCUGCGUUUGUUGGGUGCUCGAGUGGCGAACGGGUGAGUAACACGUGAGUAACCUGCCCUUAACUUUGUGAUAACUUCAGGAAAAUGGGGCUAAUACAGCAUAGGAGCUCCUGCUGCAUGGUGGGGGUUGGAAAGUUUCGGCGGUUGGGGAUGGACUCGCGGCUUAUCAGCUUGUUGGUGAGGUAGUGGCUUACCAAGGCUUUGACGGGUAGCCGGCCUGAGAGGGUGACCGGCCACAAUGGUACUGCGAUACGGCGCAGACUCGUACGGUAGGCAGCAGUCGAGAAUAUUACACAAUGGGCGGAAGCCUGAUACAGCAAUGCCGCGUGCGGGAUGACGGCCUUCGGGUGGUAAACCACUUUGUCAGGUAACGAAGCGGGAGUGACGGUAAUUGGUAAAGAAGCAACGGCUAACUACGUG